UACGUAGGACCCAAGCGUUAUCCGGAGUGACUGGGCGUAAAGAGUUGCGUAGGUGGUUAGUAAAGUGAAUAGUGAAACCUGGUGGCUCAACCAUACAGACUAUUAUUCAAACUCACUAACUCGAGAGUAGCAGAGGUAACUGGAAUUUCUUGUGUAGGAGUGAAAUCCGUAGAUAUAAGAAGGAACACCAAUGGCGUAGGCAGGUUACUGGGCUAUUUCUGACACUGAGGCACGAAAGCGUGGGGAGCGAACCGG
rnacentral:rRNA from 1 species